GGGCGCGUGCGGCGACGGCGGUUGCACGGGCGCGCGCGGCCAGCGGCGGCGACGGCGGGGUCGGUUGGAGAUGGCGGAGGUGAGGGAUGACAGGUGGACCCUACCUGUCAGUGAGAGAGAGUGAAGAGUUGAAAACGUAAUCCCUCGAGAAUACGCUUUCCUGCGGAGAAAACGUAAUGCCAGAGAAAAAGAAAAAGAAUAAAAGAAAAAGAUUAUAAAAUACUUCUCAGGAUCUAUAAUUCACCCGAAAUUCCAUUUAAAUCAUUUAAAAUAUCAAAUGGCAUCAGAAAAAUUGCAAAAAAUUCGGUAAAAUAAUAUAUCUCAUUUAGAGUCCAGGAAAAUUAUUCCCACUCAAAAAUAAGUUAAUAAAAUUAGUUUUAAUGUUUUUAAGCUUUAAAUAAAUCCAAAUAAAAUCGUAGAAUGCAUUUUUAAAUUCUAGAAAAUUCUCAAAUCAAUUCCUAUCAACCUAACACAUUCCAAAACACCAUUUCCAACACUUUCAAUAAUGCGUCAUAAUGAACACCAAAAUUUUAAGAUAUGAUCAAGGUGAUAUGCAUACGAAAUGAAAAUGUGCGAACAUCCGAAAUUGAAAAUUUGGGAUGUUACAAACCUACCCCCCUUAAGGUGAAUCUCGACCCCGAGAUUCGGAUUGGCUGGUAAAAAGGUGAGGAU
rnacentral:lncRNA from 1 species